UACGAGUACCCCAAGCGUUAUCCGGAAUCAUUGGGCGUAAAGGGUGUGUAGGUGGUUCGGUUAGUCUUCUGUCAAAACUUCGGGCUCAACCCGGAACUUGCAGUGGAAACGGCCGAACUAGAGGAUGCGAGAGGUGAAUGGAACUCAUGGAGUAGGGGUGAAAUCCGUUGAUAUCAUGGGGAACACCGAAAGCGAAGGCAAUUCACUGGCGCAUUCCUGACACUGAAACACGAAAGCGUGGGUAGCGAACGGG
rnacentral:rRNA from 1 species